AGGACGAACGCUGGCGGCGUGCUUAACACAUGCAAGUCGAGCGAGGCCCUUCCUUCGGGAAGGUGCCCUAGCGGCGAACGGGUGAGUAACACGUGGGCAACCUGCCCCUAGCACUGGGAUAACUCCGGGAAACCGGGGCUAAUACCGGAUAUGACCUUCUUGGGCAUCCUGGAAGGUGUAAAGGAUUCUGGCUAGGGAUGGGCCCGCGGCCUAUCAGCUUGUUGGUGGGGUAAUAGCCUACCAAGGCGACGACGGGUAGCCGGCCUGAGAGGGUGACCGGGCCACGACCUGGGACUGAGACACGGCCCAGACUCCUACGGGAGGCAGCAGUGGGGAAUCUUGCACAAUGGGCGAAAGCCUGAUGCAGCGACGCGCGUGAGGGAUGACUGCCUUCGGGUUGUAAACCUCCUUCAGCAGGGACGAAGCGAAAGUGACGGUACCUGCAGAAGAAGCACCGGCCAACUACGUGCCAGCAGCCGC
rnacentral:rRNA from 1 species